UGUGGCAAGCUGAUCUGUGGUACUUUUAGUCUGGAAUACCUUUUCUCCAAAUCACAUCAUCUUGAGUCAAAUCUCAGCGUUCUCAACCCAUGUUUUUAAUUUGAAUAAUUUCUUAAAAAAUAAACCCUCUGGUUUGAGAAGGCUGAGAUUUGACUCAAGAUGAUGUGAUUUGGAGAAAAGGUAUUCCAGACUAAAAGUACCACAGAUCAGCUUGCCACA
rnacentral:pre_miRNA from 1 species